rnacentral:lncRNA from 1 species
CAUUAAUAUCCUGGAAACACAUAAUUUAAAACAAUAUCCCAGGGCUGUAACUACAUUGAGGCAAAUGAGGCAAAUGCCUCAUGUUGGAAAUUUCAAAAAAAAAAAAAAAAAAAAAAAAAAAACUGAAACAAAAGAUUGUCUUCAUAUCAAAUUGUUUUCACGGAAAGUGUCUUGCAAGAAGCAACUUCUCUCCACUCUCUGGUGUCGCCCCUGCAUGUUUUUCGUGAUCCAUGUUUCUCAUUUACUUUUGGUUUUCAGAGUUGAUGGUCUAUUGUUUGUACUUCUGUGUCCCGGGUUUAAACGACUCAGAGGAAAUACCCAAUUUUUCUUAGUAUGGGUUGUAAAAUUGGGUAUUUUCUCUGAGUCGUUUAAAUCACUCGAAACUAGGCGAGAGAUGCACAGAAGUGAUAGAUAUGUAUUAUAAAUAUCGAAAUAUUUUAAUCAGCAAAAUAAAAAUUAAAAAAAAAAUCUGUAUCAUAUACCCAUGUGCCUAGAGAUAAAACUAGACAGCUGCCAUGGUUUAAAUUAAAGUAAGACCACCAAUUUCCCGGUAUCAAAUCAUUUAAAAAAAAACCAAUGUAUUGGCAUAUGACCUUUUACAUUGGAGGGUGAAACUUGCAUUAAGUCGUGUUGAGACCCUUUAACAGAAAAUAAAGGAAUAUGGAGUAAACGUGCACGGAACCUAAUCGCACACAGAGUCAAUGCAUAGAAAAAAUACAAAUCAAUGGUC